rnacentral:rRNA from 1 species
GACAGAGGGUGCAAACGUUGUUCGGAAUUACUGGGCGUAAAGCGAGUGUAGGCGGUUCGAUAAGUCGGAUGUGAAAGCCCCCGGGCUCAACCCGGGAAGUGCACUCGAUACUGUCGAGCUAGAGUAUCGGAGAGGUUGGUGGAAUUCUCGGUGUAGAGGUGAAAUUCGUAGAUAUCGAGAGGAACACCGGUGGCGAAGGCGGCCAACUGGACGAAUACUGACGCUGAGGCUCGAAAGCGUGGGGAGCAAACGGG